rnacentral:rRNA from 1 species
UACAGAGGAGCCAAGCGUUGUCCGGAUUGACUGGGCGUAAAGCGCACGCAGGCGGACGCGCGCGUGGGGUGUGAAAUCUGGCCGCUUAACGGCCAGGCGCCAUCCCAUACGGCGCGUCUGGAGCAAUGCAGAGGUCGGUGGAAUUGCCGGUGUAGUGGUGAAAUGCGUAGAUAUCGGGAGGAACACCAGUGGCGAAGGCGACUUCCUGGCCUGUUCUUGACGCUGAGGCGCGAAAGCUAGGGUAGCAAACGGG